AAAUUAAAUGUAUGUAAGUCACUCUGGAUAAGAGCGUCUGCUAAAUGACUAAAA
rfam:Salmo salar isolate Sally breed double haploid chromosome ssa06, whole genome shotgun sequence.